UUAGUCAGCAACAACAUUAUCAUGCUUCAAAAUAUCUGUGUUUGUCUAUAAAUACAUAUUCUUCAAGAGAUGAUAUAUGUGCUUCCCAUCCUAAACAUUGCAAUUAAUAUAGUAUAAGAAAUAUGAAACCUUCCUACAAAUUGAAGUCAUUUGUUGCUCUUUUAGCAAUACUUUUAUUACUAAUGUCAUCUAUGAUGGUUACUGAUGCCCAAUCCAAUUUCAAACAUGGGCGAAAACUUUUCCAGAAUGAUUAUUCUGCGCCUGGUUACCCAACUACCCCUGGAGGAUAUGGAGGAUAUCCGUGACUCUUCUUUUUACUCUUAACUUUUUAUCUCUAUUUUAGUUUUAAUAUUAUUUUCAUUUAUUAUAAAAUUAGUUUAUAAUAAAGGAAAAAUGAAAUUAAGAGAGACAAAUAAAGGGCUUAAGAAAAUGGAGAGAGAAAGACAAGAUCCAGACAAUGCAAGUUAUAUAGUACUUAUUUAUAUAGCUUUUGAUAUAUUUACUAAAUAAGGAGUUAUAAAUAAUUUGUAUUUUAUUUGGCAGUAUAAUUAUAAUUAUUUGGCAUGUCCAAUUU